AACCUUUACACUGCACGACAGUGCGAUAGGGGGACUCCGAGUGCGAGGGCAUACAGUCCUCGCUUUUCUGUACCGUAAGGUGGUACAGGAAUAAGUGCUGGGCAAGACCGGUGCCAGCCGCCGCGGUAAUACCGGCAGCACGAGUGAUGGCCGAUAUUAUUGGGCCUAAAGCGUCCGUAGCCGGCCAGACAAGUCCGUUGGGAAAUCGACGUGCCUAACACGUCGGCGUCCAGCGGAAACUGUCUGGCUUGGGGCCGGAAGACUCGAGGGGUACGUCCGGGGUAGGAGUGAAAUCCCGUAAUCCUGGACGGACCGCCGAUGGCGAAAGCACCUCGAGAGGACGGACCCGACGGUGAGGGACGAAAGCUAGGGUCUCGAACCGGAUUAGAUACCCGGGUAGUCCUAGCCGUAAACAAUGCUCGCUAGGUGUGGCGCAGGCUACGAGCCUGCGCUGUGCCGUAGGGAAGCCGUGAAGCGAGCCGCCUGGGAAGUACGUCCGCGAGGAUGAAACUUAA
rnacentral:rRNA from 1 species